rnacentral:rRNA from 1 species
AAUAGAUACCCGGGUAGUCCACGCCGUAAACGGUGGGUACUAGGUGUGGGUUUCCUUCCUUGGGAUCCGUGCCGUAGCUAACGCAUUAAGUACCCCGCCUGGGGAGUACGGCCGCAAGGCUAAAACUCAAAGAAAUUGACGGGGGCCCGCACAAGCGGCGGAGCAUGUGGAUUAAUUCGAUGCAACGCGAAGAACCUUACCUGGGUUUGACAUGCACAGGACGCCGGCAGAGAUGUCGGUUCCCUUGUGGCCUGUGUGCAGGUGGUGCAUGGCUGUCGUCAGCUCGUGUCGUGAGAUGUUGGGUUAAGUCCCGCAACGAGCGCAACCCUUGUCUCAUGUUGCCAGCACGUUAUGGUGGGGACUCGUGAGAGACUGCCGGGGUCAACUCGGAGGAAGUGGGGAUGACGUCAAGUCAUCAUGCCCCUUAUGUCCAGGGCUUCACACAUGCUACAAUGGCCGGUACAAAGGGCUGCGAUGCCGUGAGGUGGAGCGAAUCCUUUCAAAGCCGGUCUCAGUUCGGAUCGGGGUCUGCUAACG